AAAUCAUCUUCUUUAAAGAUGGAUCACAUUAAAUAGAUGUAACUCAGUUGCUCUAUGAGUGGGUGAAGUCAGAGAGGAAGUGCACUUUAGUAGAAUUAUAAUCAACAUGAAUUUUAAGAAACUUAGAAAAUAGAAGAAGGGUAGUAGUCUUAUCUUCGGGUAUUACUAUGUUAUAAUCUUUUAUUGAAUGAGUUACUUAAGAUUGAGGAAUUAAUAUACUCCUCUAUGGAUUGUGAUAUUAAGUUCAUGGAAGGGAUAAAGUAGCAGACUGUAACAGUGUGACAUUUUAUUCAAUUCAUUAUACUUAAUAGCAAAUGUACAUUAGAGAUGUUGAUCUUUUUUAUAAAAGAAGAAGGAUUUAAUCGACCCGUCUUGUAACACGGACCAAGGAGUCUAACAUGUAUGCGAGUAAACUGAGUUUUAAAACUUCAAUCAUGCAAAAUGAAGUAAAAUAU
rnacentral:rRNA from 1 species